rnacentral:rRNA from 1 species
CUACGGGUUGCUGCAGCUAAGAAUCUUCCGCAAUGGACGAAAGUCUGACGGAGCGACGCCGCGUGAACGAUGAAGGCCGUGAGGUUGUAAAGUUCUUUUCCGAGGGGAGAAUAAGGAUGGCAGGGAAUGGCCGUCUGAUGACGUGAACUCGGGAAUAAGCCCCGGCUAACUACGUGCCAGCAGCCGCGGUAACACGUAGGGGGCGAGCGUUGUUCGUAAUCAUUGGGCGUAAAGGGUGCGCAGGCGGUUAUGCAAGUCUGGUGUGAAAGGUCUCGGCUCAACCGAGGAAACGCGCUGGAAACUGGGUAACUAGAGUACAGGAGGGGGAGUUGGAAUUCCAGGUGUAGGGGUGAAAUCUGUAGAUAUCUGGAAGAACACCGGUGGCGAAGGCGAACUUCUGGCCAUGUACUGACGCUGAGGCACGAAGGCGUGGGGAGCAAACAGGAUUUGAUACCCCGGUAGUC